rnacentral:rRNA from 1 species
GGAGGGUGCGAGCGUUAAUCGGAAUUACUGGGCGUAAAGCGCGCGUAGGUGGUUUGAUAAGCUAGCUGUGAAAGCCCUGGGCUCAACCUGGGAACUGCAGUUAGAACUGUCUGGCUAGAGUAUAGUAGAGGGUGGCGGAAUUUCCUGUGUAGCGGUGAAAUGCGUAGAUAUAGGAAGGAACAUCAGUGGCGAAGGCGGCCACCUGGACUAAUACUGACACUGAGGUGCGAAACGGUGGGGAGCAAACAGGAUUAGAUACCCUGGUAGUCCACGCCGUAAACGAUGUCUACCUUAGCCGUUGGGAGCAUUGAUCCUCUUAGUGGCGCAGUUAACGCGAUAAGUAGCCAGCCUGGGAGUACGGCCGCAAGGUUAAAACUCAAAUGAAUUGACGGGGCCCGCACAAGGCGUGGAGCAUGUGGUUUAAUUCGCGACAACGCGAAGAACCUUACCAGGUCUUGACAUCCUAGAACUUGACAGAGAUGC